GACGAACGCUGGCGGCGUGCUUAACACAUGCAAGUCGAACGAAGAGCGAUGGAAGCUUGCUUCUAUCAAUCUUAGUGGCGAACGGGUGAGUAACGCGUAAUCAACCUGCCCUUCAGAGGGGGACAACAGUUGGAAACGACUGCUAAUACCGCAUACGAUCUAAUCUCGGCAUCGAGGAUAGAUGAAAGGUGGCCUCUACCUGUAAGCUAUCACUGAAGGAGGGGAUUGCGUCUGAUUAGCUAGUUGGAGGGGUAACGGCCCACCAAGGCGAUGAUCAGUAGCCGGUCUGAGAGGAUGAACGGCCACAUUGGGACUGAGACACGGCCCAGACUCCUACGGGAGGCAGCAGUGGGGAAUCUUCCGCAAUGGACGAAAGUCUGACGGAGCAACGCCGCGUGAGUGAUGACGGCCUUCGGGUUGUAAAGCUCUGUUAAUCGGGACGAAAGGCCUUCUUGCGAACAGUUAGAAGGAUUGACGGUACCGGAAGAGAAAGCCACGGCUAACUACGUG
rnacentral:rRNA from 1 species